GACGAACGCUGGCGGCGUGCUUAACACAUGCAAGUCGAACGAAGAGCGAUGGAAGCUUGCUUCUAUCAAUCUUAGUGGCGAACGGGUGAGUAACGCGUAAUCAACCUGCCCUUCAGAGGGGGACAACAGUUGGAAACGACUGCUAAUACCGCAUACGAUCUAAUCUCGGCAUCGAGGAUAGAUGAAAGGUGGCCUCUACAUGUAAGCUAUCACUGAAGGAGGGGAUUGCGUCUGAUUAGCUAGUUGGAGAGGUAACGGCCCACCAAGGCGAUGAUCAGUAGCCGGUCUGAGAGGAUGAACGGCCACAUUGGGACUGAGACACGGCCCAGACUCCUACGGGAGGCAGCAGUGGGGAAUCUUCCGCAAUGGACGAAAGUCUGACGGAGCAACGCCGCGUGAGCGAUGACGGCCUUCGGGUUGUAAAGCUCUGUUAAUCGGGACGAAAGGCCUUCUUGCGAAUAGGGAGAAGGAUUGACGGUACCGGAAUAGAAAGCCACGGCUAACUACGUG
rnacentral:rRNA from 1 species